rnacentral:rRNA from 1 species
UACGUAGGUGGCAAGCGUUGUCCGGAUUUACUGGGUGUAAAGGGCGUGCAGCCGGGAAGACAAGUCAGAUGUGAAAUCCCGCGGCUCAACCGCGGAACUGCAUUUGAAACUGUUUUUCUUGAGUACCGGAGAGGUCAUCGGAAUUCCUUGUGUAGCGGUGAAAUGCGUAGAUAUCAGGAGGAACACCGGUGGCGAAGGCGGCCUGCUGGACUGCAACUGACGUUGAGGCCCGAAAGCGUGGGGAGCAAACAGG